GAGUUAUCCUGAUGGUAUCCAAAGACGACAUCAUAAAGAGAGGGUUCUGGGGGACAUUUGACCCUGGUCUCAUAUGCGCCAAGAACCUCAAAUUUAAAAUUGGGAUUUUUUUUUACUUAAAAAAAAAAUCUGACUACCCUCAAAUAUACAAAUGAUUCUAGUCUUCCCUGAUUUCUAAAAGGUCCUGAUACCAAACAUGAACCUGCAUUUUCAUCCAUCUUUGCAACCAGUAUUGAUAGAGUGGCUACUGUGACUUGCACUAAGCUGGGUGGGCAUGCUUUAGGCACCCAGGGAAGCAAGGCAUGGUCUCUCACCUCAAGGAGCCCACCCACUUCCAGGAGAAACAGGUCUGUCCACUUGAAACUGCCCUGGUGUGAUGCAUGGCUUGCUGGAGGCAUGGAGAAGUGGGAAAAUUCUAAGGUGAUUCGAGUUGGGACCUACUCAGAGAAUGGUUCAUAUAAGGAAGAAUAAGUACCCCGAUAUGGGUGGAUAAUUUCUCACAAGAGACAUGACUUGAGCAAAGAUACACAAACAUAAAAAGUAGCUUUGCCACUUCAUUCUUGGGCCCACGCUGAAGAACCAGUCUUUUUCUGAAACAUUGCUAAGAAUGUGGCAGAAGGAAGAGAUAUGGCAGAACUUCAUCAUGGCCCUGACAAACUCUGCUCUGAAAACCUUCAUGAUGGUGCUGAAAACUGACUCCCCCUGAGAGUUCCUUGGCUAAAUGAGUCACUUGGCCAAGCCUGACAUCCUCAGAGUGGGAAAACAAUCUUCCCAAAAUAAGGGCACCAUAAAUUACAUAGCCAAACCUCAUGUCAGUAGAAUGGCAGGUAAAAUCCUCCCACAAGAAGGAGCAGCAUAUAUUUGGAAAUAAAAAAUGCAGUCCACUACAUCUCAAUCAUUACAGCCUCAGAGGCUGAAAA
rnacentral:lncRNA from 1 species